rnacentral:lncRNA from 1 species
GCUGCCGGCUGGGUGGCCCGCGAGCUGCACCCGGAUCUGCUCGGCGGCGGCGACGUGAGCGCGCAGGGGGGCGGCGGCCUCGCCUCGUCUCUCUCUCUGCGCCUGGGUCGGGUGGGUGACGCCGAGAGCCAGAGAGAUGUCGGAUUUCGACAGUAACCCGUUUGCCGACCCGGAUCUCAACAAUCCCUUCAAGUGCACGUGGACGACCUCUUCCCUACCCAGCUGCUUCUAGCAAGGUAAACGAUGGGAUAUUUUCCAAGCACCUAGUGCGUCACCGGUUCUCUGGGCCAUAUGAGGAUACCAUUUCCCACUUGAGCUGCUUUUCUUCUUGGAGUCGACCUUAUCAACCCCAGCUUCGGAAGGGCUUGGCACAGAAUCCUGCAAAGGAAGGCGACUGAGAUGUUCAUCGUCUGCGUUUAAAUGAAUUGCAACAUCUAAAUAACUCUCUUUGAAAGUAUUCUGGAUUUCCUAAUGAGUGUAACUGUUAGCACGUGUAAUUUGUUUCCAACUGUUGGUUGAAGUUGUAUCUCAAUCCCCCCCUCCCCCCGGCCGUGUGCAAUAGUAACCUUAAUUUGCAAUCACGCAGAAUAAAACGGUAACUCUUAAUUUGUG